GUGGGGAAUCUUGCGCAAUGGGCGAAAGCCUGACGCAGCCAUGCCGCGUGAAUGAUGAAGGUCUUAGGAUUGUAAAAUUCUUUCACCGGGGACGAUAAUGACGGCACCCGGAGAAGAAGCCCCGGCUAACUUCGUGCCAGCAGCCGCGGUAAUACGAAGGGGGCUAGCGUUGCUCGGAAUUACUGGGCGUAAAGGGCGCGUAGGCGGACAGUUUAGUCAGAGGUGAAAGCACAGGGCUCAACCUUGGAAUUGCCUUGGAUACUGGCUGUCUUGAGUACGGGAGAGGUGAGUGGAACUCCGAGUGUAGAGGUGAAAUUCGUAGAUAUUCGGAAGAACACCAGUGGCGAAGGCGACUCACUGGCCCGUUACUGACGCUGAGGCGCGAAAGCGUGGGGAGCAAACAGGAUUAGAUACCCGAGUAGUCC
rnacentral:rRNA from 1 species